rnacentral:rRNA from 1 species
AAUUUAUUUGUGAGUUUGAUCCUGGCUCAGGAUGAACGCUGGCGGCGUGACUAAGGCAUGCAAGUCGAGCGGGCCUCGCAAGAGGUCAGCGGCAAACGGGUGAGUAACACAUUGGUAACCUACCCUUAAGAUGGGGACAACUCGCCGAAAGGCGGGCUAAUACCCAAU